AUUGAACGCUGGCGGCAUGCCUUACACAUGCAAGUCGAACGGUAACAGGUUAAGCUGACGAGUGGCGAACGGGUGAGUAAUGUAUCGGGACGUGCCCAGUCGUGGGGGAUAACUACUCGAAAGAGUGGCUAAUACCGCAUACGACCUGGGGGUGAAAGCGGGGGACCGUAAGGCCUCGCGCGGUUGGAGCGGCCGAUAUCGGAAUAGCUAGUUGGUGGGGUAAAAGCCCGCCAAGGCGACGAUCUGUAGCUGUUCUGAGAGGACGACCAGCCACACUGGGACUGAGACACGGCCCAGACUCCUACGGGAGGCAGCAGUGGGGAAUUUUGGACAAUGGACACAAGUCUGAUCCAGCCAUGCCGCGUGCGGGAAGAAGGCCUUCGGGUUGUAAACCGCUUUUGUCAGGGAAGAAACGAGUUUCUCUAAUACAGAGACUUAAUGACGGUACCUGAAGAAUAAGCACCGGCUAACUACGUGCCAGCCGCCGCAGUAAUAC
rnacentral:rRNA from 1 species